rnacentral:tRNA from 1 species
GCGGGUGUAGUAUAAUGGUAAUACGUGACCUUCCCAAGGUUAAGUUGGGAGUUCGAUUCUCCUCAUCCGCUCCA